AGCCGUGUGGUGAGCACAAAGCGAACUAUUCUUUCACCUUUUACUAAAGAAUACCAUGUGCUCGUCACUUGAAACGGCAUACGUCAAUUUUUUAAAAGAGUAUUCUUAAUUGAAUGCU
rnacentral:snRNA from 2 species